AUCUGUGAACUCAAAAUAUUUCUUCACCAAAAUAUUCAUUCUGAUCUUUACUUGAAAGUCAUGUUUUCUAUCAUCUGGUUUAAUUUUCCGACAAGGUUUUCGUCAAUCUGAUCCAUCGUUUCAUCUCAAGAUAAGGUAUAAAUAUAUUUUUUCCUACUUAUUACAUUCGUUUAAUGAUUCUAAAAUAUAUUACUAUAGAACCAAUCGAACCAAGUAAUUAUCCUAACGGCUUUUGUUAAAAAAAAAUUGAUUUUCUAUCUUCGUUUUCAUCUUGGUUUGUCAAUAUGGUCUAGAAGAGCCAUGGUUUAGAUUAUAAAAAUAUUAUUUUUCUCACUAGCAGUAUUUUAAAAAUAAUAACAUGUUUAUAUUAUUCGAUCAUAUUUAGCUUUAAACUAUUGAAUAUGAAUAUUUAUACUACUAGUUGCUUUUAAUAGUGAAUAUGUAAACAAUAUUUGAUGAUUUAUCUUUCAGAUUUUAAAUUAUCCUUUGUAUAUAUAUACGUUUAUUAAUAAAGUUUAUCUUUUAUUAACUAUCCUAUAUUAUAAUAGUAAAUAUAUAACUACAAAGCAAAUUCCUCUUUAUUAGAGUGUAAUUUUAUAUAUGUAUCUACUAGGUUAGAACCCCGUGUAUUACACGGGUUGAUUAAAUAUAUUUUUAUAUAAUAAAAAAUUAUAUCUUUAAUUACCCGUGUAUAACAUGAGUUGAAUAAGAACGUGUACUACACGGCUUGAAUAAAUAUAAUGUAAUCAGUUAACACACACAGUCGUCAAAAUAUGUUUUUGGUAAAAAGAACUUUGAUAUACUAUUUACAUAUUAGAACAUUUUACUUUGUUGUUUUUUAAUUUAUUAACAGGUUAACAACGUGUGUGUUACAUGUGGUCGGAUCAAUAAAAUAUUAAAUAGUUAUUAUUAUUAAGUUUAAAAAAUAAAAAAUAAAAAGACUCAGGCCCUCAACCACCGCCAUUAGAGACUUUUGAGUAUGAAAUGAAUCUAUUCACAAUUCAAAGAAACGUGAAUUUUGCACCCAAAUAUACAUUCAGUCCAUUAAAUCCACUUAUUUCUUCUUUCCCCAUUUAUGGCCCGUUGCUUUGUACCUAAAUAUUAGUUUUUAUUCUUCCCUAUUUAAUACAUGUAAUCUCAAUCAAGUAAUCAAAACUAAAGAGGAAAACAAUUACAACACUUUUCAGUUUGAAUUAACAUGCAGAACUAACGUGAGGCUAUUAACCUGCAAAUAUGGCUUGUUUGGCAUUUAGUCAGCGAAACGCGCCCUAGAUCUCUCCUCCAAGUGGAUGUUGAUAGCUCGGAAUGAAAAGGGGCUUGCUCCAUGUGAAUGGCCCCAUAAAUUUAAGAGAUCCAAUUGUGUUUGGAUUACAUCUCCGGUGAAAACAAAGGCAAUUUUGCUUGGGUUUCAGGCAGUUUUGCGUUUGCACCGCAUUUCCGUUCCAUUUUGCAAUACAAUUGAUGUCGGUCAUCAAACGAUAGUGGGACCCUCACAUGUUAGGCAUGUGAGGGAAAUAAAAUGAGAUAAUUAACUUUGUUAGUUAUAAAGGAUUAAACCAACAACAAAAAUAAAUUUAAAGGAUGUUUUUAGCAAGUUUUAAAUAUUAAGGCUGGAACCUGUAAGUUUGAAGAAACAUAAAGGACGUUUUGUGCAAUUUACUCGCAAAAUAAUAAAAUAAAGAUAAGUAUAUAAAGAUUAUGUUAGAAGAUAAAUAUAAAUAUAGAGAUAUAGUUAUAGAUAAACGUUGACUUAAAAUAUGGGAUAACUUGAUAAAUUAUUUUAAAACUUGUAAUUUUUAAGAUAAAAAUAAACAUAGAUAUAUGGCGGGAAAACUAAAAUGUAGAUGCCUCUCAUAUCGACACGUGUCCAUCAAUUGGUUUCUUUUAUUAUAUGUAUAGAUUAUUUAAUACAUAUAUAGAAUAUAUAUUAAAUUUUAUACCUUCAUAAACUCAGUUUGUACAAAAAAUUUAUCAAGUUUAUCACUCAUAGAGGACAUAACUAAUGGCAGCCGUUUUAAAAAGGUUUUAACUGUGAUAUAUAAAUAGAAGUCUCCAUAAACUUCAUUGACUUAUGAGUAUUUUAUUAAUUUAGAUGUACUAAAUGAAGAUCCAUAAAUGAAAAGAUUUUUAAAGUCUUAAGUCACUGGAAAUUUAAUAAAUGAACAAAAGAGUACAAAUCAAAAGUUUAACACCUCUAAAUAAUAUCACAAUAGGAUUUUGUGAUCGUCUACACGUAUUUGAUUGUCUCAAAUUGUGAUCAUCGCUUAAGGUACGGAUAGAAUUCCUUCCUUCAAUACAUGUCAUUUGGUCUUCGGGCAUCUGAUUCCUGAUUUUUAAAUUAUGCACUAAUUAUAUAACACUCUAAUUUUUAACAUUUCUAAGCAUAAGAGGUUGUACUUUGUGCUUGGUUUGUGGUUUGUGAUGUUAUAGGUAGAAAUUGUUUUCAUACCCACAAAACAACAAACCCUAUCUCCUGCCUUUUCAUUCAUCGAUCAUCUACUUUUUUCCUUCUUUUUGUUUUCAUACCCACAAAACACCAAACCCUAGAGAGAGAUAGAGACAGAGUUUAGAGGCAGGGAAGUGCAAUGGCGAAGGUGAUGUGGUUUGAACCUCCGCACGAGCACCUGCCGCUGCCUAAGCAUCACCACCGGAGUUCCCUGCCACUGCACGAACACCACCGGAGUUCCCAUCCGUUCACCGGAGCACCUCGAUCGUUCGCCUAGAAACGGUGUAUGCAUGAUGAAGCUGCACCGCAUUAUAUUGACAUGAUUGAUCAAACAACGUAUGGGCAUAAGUUUAUAAAAGAGUAGUUUAAUGUAACGCCAUGUAUUGGUUGGCGAAUAGACCUUGGUCAUUCGGCUGUGCAGGCUUACCUAUUGGGGGCAGAGCUUGGAUUUGAUUCUGUUUUCUUUGGGCGAACUGAUUACCUAGAUAGAGCUAAGCGAAAAGGAGAUAAACGUCUUGAAGUUAUCUGGCAGGGCUCCAAGAGUCUUAGUUCAUCUUCACAGAUUUUCGCAGGUGCUUUCCCCGAGAGCUACGAACCUCCACCAGGUGGUUUUUACUAUGAAGUUAACGACGAUUCCCCGAUUGUCCAGGAUGACAUUGACCUGUUUGACUACAAUUUGAAGAACGGGUUAAUGAUUUCGUGGCUGCAGCCUUAUCACAGGCGAACAUUACUCGCAAAAAUCAUGUAAUGUAGACAAUGAGAACAGACUCAAAUAUCAGUAUGCAGAUUCAUGGUUUCGGAAUAUGGACAAGUUUAUUCAUUAUGUCAAUAAAGAUGGCCGAGUCAAUGCUCUCUAUUCAACGCCAUCUAUAUACACCGAUGCUAAACAUGCUGAGACUGACUCGUGGCCUCUCAAAGAAGACGACUAUUUUCCAUAUGCAAGCGGUAUAGAUGUCUACUGGACUGGAUACUUUACUAGCAGGGCAGGUCUAAAGUGCUAUGUCAGAAUGUUGAGUGGCUAUUAUCUGUCAGCAAGACAAUUGGAAGUAAUGAACGGAAGGAAUAAACGGGCCCACUACAGACUAUUUGGGUGAUGCUUUGGUGAUUGCCCAGCAUCACGAUUGUGUUAGUGGUACUUCUCAACAACAUGUGGCUAAUGAUUAUGCAAAACGGCUCUCAAUAGGUUAAAGGAGGUACAACUUAAUUCUAUUUUUUUUUUUUUGCAAAUAAUAUUUUGAGUAAAAUGCCAUUUUCGUCUAUGAGGUUUGGCCAUUUUGCGACUUUCGUCCAUUGCGAAAUUGUUAGCGCAUGGGAAGCAUUUGGGUUUUUAGUUAUGUUUUAUUCACGGUUGACAAAAUGGGCCCACGUGGGAAGCAUGGGGACGGUGGUGAAUGGAAGUUUAAGAGCCUCGCAGACGAGUCAACUAGACCACAGUUGAUAAUCUUUAUUUUUCUUUCAAUUUAAAGUUAUAUUUAUUGUUAUUUUGUUGAUUUUUUGAUUGGCAUGAGAGGGAAUUCCAAGUUGCAAAUUUACCAUAUAAGCCGGAUUCCAAAGUGAUGCCAGAGAGUCAUUCAUAUGAGCAUUUGAACGCAUUUUAUGAACAGUUUACGUGUCUUGAUGUCGACUGACUAGAAAUAUAAAUCCAGCCCCCGCCGCAUCGCGGCGGGUUACGCUUCUAGUUUAUAUUAUAAAAAUGUUACGAGUUUACGUGUUUAUAUAUGUACAAGUUUAAGGUUAUGUACAUGUAUUAUGUUACCCAAGUCAGUCCCUUUUUCUGUGAGGAUGACCACAGACCCAUCAUUGUGGCAUAAAAUGAUGUGGCACCAUCCGUGACGGUGAGUUGAGUUCACGGCGUCUCUUCUGUUUUAGUCUACGGACUUCUGUUCAGAGGCGUAUAGAUCGAUCCUAGGAAAAAAGUAAAUAAAGUCUGAUAUCUGGUGAAUGGUCGGUGUGAUUUGCCCACACUCCGUUCUCCAUUCAUGUCUGGAUACAUGGGCUAGCUACCCUGUAUCAACCUCUGUAAUAAAAUGAACCUUCUGGACUUCUGGUAAAUCUGUAUAUCAUAUUCUGAUAAUAUUUGUUAUACUUAUUUAAUAUAUUUUGAAUUAUGAAAACUUAGCGUUUUUGCUAAAACAAAGGUUUUUUUUUUUGAAGAACUUUGCCUUUUUCUCAAAUAAAAUAAGCCUUUUUGUUUCCCUUUAUCCGCACACUGGGCAAAACUUUCAAAUUUUGCUCAGACGUACGUUUUUGUGUUUUCUUCUUUACGUCAGGUUAUCAAGAUUUCUGGGUCGGGAAAUGGAAGAGUGCUCGAGUGUUUGGAAAAGACCGUAGAAAUAAAUGUACUGGAUUAGAUAUCCUAUUUCCAUUAAGUUGUAAACCCUUGUAAUACAUUUAAGUAUUAAUGGAAUUAUGUUUUUGAUC